UUACAUCUGAUGAGUUACUCGCUCGGAUUCCCCUUCAAGACAGUACGGGUGAUGGACGCAAGCUUUAGUUUCCAAUGCA